UUUCCUUGGGUCUGUAGUUGCAAGUGUCCUUUGUAUUGCUCGUAUGCGUAAUGCGCAUCUUUAAGCACAUAAUGCGGCACUUUAGUCCAUGGCAGACGCGGUCAAAAGGAUCCACGUAAUCGCUUUAGCGAGAGCAUGGCGCGUUCUAGAUAUAAGUCGCAUCGUUUGUUGAUGGCAACAUAGUGUUGCGCAAGCGAGAGAGUUGGCGUGUAAGCAAAGCUCCAAUGCGCGAGUGUGGGGUCAAAAACUAGGUCAGCUAAGGAAA
rnacentral:ncRNA from 12 species